rnacentral:tRNA from 1 species
GAGGACGAAAUUAGCAGAAAUUGACACGAAACUGACUGAUCCUAACACGCACUUUAUAAAACUCGAAAUGCGUUAGCCUUAACGGGCACGUGGGUUCGAAUCCCACCGUCUCCGCCA